GUUAGGGUGACUGGAGUCGUGUUGUUUGGAGCAGACAAGUGGUACUAAUGUCUGAUACAGUCUGUGAGUUAGGGUGAGUGGAGUCGUGUUGUUUGGAGCAGACAAGUGGUACUAAUGUCUGAUACAGUCAGUGAGUUAGGGUGAGUUUGUGUGGGGACACUGCAGCAGUGAGUGGAGUCGUGCUGUUUGGAGCAGACAAGUGGUACUAAUGUCUGAUACAGUCUGUGAGUUAGGGUGAGUGGAGUCGUGUUGUUUGGAGCAGACAAGUGGUACUAAUGUCUGAUACAGUCAGUGAGUUAGGGUGAGUUUGUGUGGGGACACUGCAGCAGUGAGUGGAGUCGUGCUGUUUGGAGC